UUUUUUUUCUGUAUUUAUUUAUAUAAAUACAAUUGACAAUUAAUUAUAAACAAAUUAUAGACAAAUAAAUAAAUAAACACUGGUGUUUAUUUAUUAAUAAUGGAUUUAGCAGUUUUAAAAUUAAUUAAGACAAUUAAAAAUAAUUGUUUAUGAAUUAAACAUUUACAAAGUAGACAUGAAGAUGUGGAUGUUUAUACGAUUGUUUAUUUGUCAUAAAUAUUUAAACAAAAUAAAGAUGACUGAGAUGCUUUGAAAUUUAAAGAGAAAGGAUUGGGUUACUUGUUGAUCAUUUUGCACUUGAUCAAAGCACAAUAACAAAGCAUGCCUACAUGCCAACACAGCCAUGGGAUUUAUCAAAUAAAUGGUAAUUAUGAUGCUUCAAUAAAGCUCAAAUAUUUUAAGAGUUAUCAACGAGUCAAUGACAAGAUAAAUCACCAAGUGAUUCAUCAACUGAUUCACCACCAUUACCAGCGUUUACCAGUAAUGCAGAGGAUGAUGUGUCAAGUCAACCAGUAACUAGUGCAACUGUUGGACCUGAAGCGAACAUAGAGAUUGUAAUGCCACUAGCAUCAUCAACCGUUAAUGGUUUCAUAAAUAAACAUCCUAAUAGCGGUGAUCACGUCUAGACUAUGCAUUAAAUCUUGGUGGAACUAACUCUCGGACAACAGACACGUGAUUACAUAAUAAAUUAAAAUAAUUAUAAUGCAUCUAAUCGGUUAUUAAAUAAUUAAAUGAGUGAAUAUCGAAAAAUAAUUUUAAUUAUAUCAAAUAAGUUAUAUUGAUGAUGUUAACAGCGGGACGCACAGACAUUUAAUGACGAAAAAAUUUUUUUGCACAUUCUUAUAUGCAGUUUGCGGGGGUCGAUGCGCGCCAAUCACAUCACAGCUUCACUUGAUCGGCCUAUCUCAAUAUGUGUGAGCCCAUGAUGCGAGAUUAUAUAAUAUAUUUAUUGUAGUGUCAUCGUUAAUAUUUUGCACUUGAUUGCUCUUUUUUUUUUUUUUUUUUUUUAAUAAUAUACUGUCAAUAGCAUUAUUAAUUAAAAUCAUUAUUGUUACUAUGUGAACAAAAAAAAAAAAAACACGAAAUUGUAAAUUCUUAUAUCAUUAUUUUACGUUUGCUUCCCGGAGGUUUUGAGCAGACGCGAUGACUUUUUUUUUUUAUUAUUUAUUUAUCAUAUUUUAUAACAUUG